rnacentral:lncRNA from 1 species
AGACUCGGGGUGCUGGCAGCGGCAGCCCACGCCUCCCAGGGAUUGCAGGCCUGGGCGCCGGGGUUGGACCAGUCUCCCGGGCAUGGCACGCCCUGGUUAUUCUGUACCCGUGAUUUGUGGCGGGGCAAGACGUUAAGUUGGGUGACACCGAGGUGAGCCACGGUCCUCGGCACCAGAUGAGGAACCACUGUCUCAAUAAGUGACACCAGUGAUGCUGUUAAACAAGGACAAUCCGGUUCAUGGAUUGUGACAACGCACGCUGACAUCAAGCAGACCCUGCCGUCAGCUGAGUGCCAUGAGAGGACAGUGACAACCUUGGGGCCUCAUGGUGAAGGUGGCAGAAACUUUGUUAGCCUGGGUGCUCAGGGUGGACAGCUGCUCUUGCCAACCGGGAACAUUUGCCUUGAGCUCUUUUGUAAGUGACAGAUAAGCUUUUAUUGUACUUCAGCCAAGAUACAAACAUUGGACGUAUUUGUACAGCAGCUAAAGGUGCAAUCCACAACCUACCUCCUCUGCAUCCCAGUUUUGCUCCAGAGAAGUUCACGAGGUGGAUUGGCCUGAUGGGUCCUGGCUCCACUGGGAAGACCCCUGGGAGAAUCUGAAUCUUCUUGGAGGAUGGGUCUCUGCUCUGCUUCUAGUUCUCCACCUCCAGGUUGGGAGAGGGUCCUGACACCAAAAGUUCAUUUCAGAAUCUGCCUUUCAGCCCUUCCUUCUGGUCAAAGGUGUGAGUAUGGCUGGCAUGAUGGGAUGGAGAGAACAUGGGCUUCUCAAUCCCCAAUCUACCACUAGUAAGCUAUGGGAGCUGCAAUCCUCUCAGACCUCCGUUUCCUAUUCAUAAAAAUGGGAACAAUAACACUACCCUCAUGGGACUGCUUCUAGGUGCAGUGACAGGGCAGCGGCACCAUCUAACACAUUAAAAUGUCAGUUUUUCUUGCUAAUACCAUAAGGAGAUUUAAAAUAUAAAUGUAUCUAUAAAUUCCCGGACCCCAGUGUUGCCCCGUUGAAUAGAAACUACUGGAGGUUGGGUUCUGAGAAUGUGAAUUUUUGAGGCACUCCCAGUGAGACUCUGAGAAGCCGCGAUGUUUGGGAAUGACAGCUUUUCCAUUCUUCAAUUCCAGAUGCUAUUCAUAAUGAGAUGUGCUACCGAUAACAACUUCUCAGGAAAAAAUGUGUGAAUUACCAAUUACAUUUAUACAUUUCAACCUCAGACUCAUUAAAAAUUGCACCCCUGGACUGUGCAUUGUCUCAGCUGUGGUCACAGGACUGAAGGAGAAGUCUAUGUGGUGUGAGGCAAUAACCAUGACUGUGAUUAGACGGCAGCCUCGAUGAUCACCUGGUAUAUGCCAUGCUGGGAGGCCACUGAGAAUGCUCUGCAUCAUCCCCCAGGCCUGGGAUGCAGAGUGUCGGGGAAUCAGUCCUGUGUCUCUCUUCUCCAGCAUCUCUCAGCUGGAUGCACCGGGCUGUCUUUGUGGUUCAGACCUUCAGGAGCCAAGCCAAAUUGAGUCAGAGCAUGCUCCUCAGUGUCUGCCCCACCACUGAGAGGGGUCAGCCUUCACCUGGCAUCUGGCACACCAGUCUGCACUGGUGGGGCUUCUUCGUUGCUGUUGGAGCGUCUUUGCUCCUCACAGAGUUGGGAAGGGUGGGAGGGCCUCUUUCAGAGCUCUCUGCCCCUUUCCCUGUGUUGGCUGAGUCCCUAGGACUGUACUUGUGCGUUGAUUUCCCUCUUCGGUUCAUUGUAUUUGUCAGGAUUCAGGCAGGAAAACACAAACCAGGCUUGGUGUAUCUGAUAGAGGAAUUUAACACUGGCUAUAGAAUGUGUAGAUGUUGGAAGGCUGGGAUGGCAAGAGGGAGACUGUGAGGUGGCCCAGGGCUUAUGACCUAUAGAAAGCUGCUGCCCCAGCUAAGGCUGGGGGAACAAAAAGAAGGAGGGUUAUCAUUAGGAUUUGGGAUGCAGAGGAGGAGCCGUAGCCUCGGGAGCAUUGCUGUGGAGGAGGGACUGCUGCAGCUAGAGCUGAGAUGAUGGAAAUAGCACAGCUGCUUGAGAGACAUCACCUGGAGAAGAAGGAACGAGAGAAAGAGUGAGAGGAAUAGAAGAUCAACACUACUCUCCCAGCAUCUCUUAUUGAGAGAGCUUGUGAAGAAGUCAGCUGGCAAAGGAGCCAAGUGUGACUGAGCAGUGUGCAGAGAGUGUGGUGGGCCUGGGAGACAAUAGGCAAACAAUGAGUACAUUCAGGCAGUCAGCACAAAUUUACUAAGUACCUUUUUUUUUGAGACUGAGUCUCACCCUGUUGCCAGGCUGGAAUGCAGUGGCGCGAUCUUGGCUCGCUGCAACCUCCACCCCCCAGGUUCAAGUGAUUCUCCUGCCUCAGCCUCCUGAGCAGCUGGGACUACAGACACACCCCACCACACCCAGCUAAUUUUUGUAUUUUUACAGGAGACGGGGUUUCACCAUGUUGGUCAGGAUGGUCUUGAUUGCUUGACAUCGUGAUCCGCCUGCCUUGGCCUUCCAAAGUGUUGGGAUUAUGGGCGUGAGUCACUGUACCUGGCCUACUAAGUGCCUUUUAAAUGCCAGACACUGUUGUGAUGCUGGGGGGUGAGCAGGGAACAAAACAGAAAAUCUCCUGCCAUCUAGGAGCCAGCAUCUUAGUUGGGGAGACAGUCAGCAAACAUAAAAAAAGUAAAAUAUGUAAUCUCUUAAAUGGCAGUAAGAGCUAUAGAGAAAAAUGAAGACAGGAAAGGGGCAGAGAGUGGUGGGAAUGAGGGGGUGGGCAGGAAAGGUCUCACUAAGAACAGUUUAAGCAAAGACCUGGAAGAAGCCAGGCAGCGAGCCCCGAGGCUCUUCGGGGAAGAGCAUGGCAGGCAGAGAUACAGCAAGGGCAAAGGCCUUGAGGCCUGCCUUGGUCAAGGAAAAAUAAAGAGGCCUGAGCAGAGUGUGCGAGGGGAGAAGAAGUAGGAAAUGAGGGCAGGGGGAUACAGCUGAGCAGUUUGGGCUCCAGAAAUAAAAAAAAAAGGGGACCUCUUAGGAUAAGCGGGCCACCUAAAAAUUCUUUAUGCAGGUUUUUGUUAGGCCCUGGGCUCCCUCUGACUGAUGACCUGGGUGACUUGCACUGACAUCCCUUUACCCCUCUUGUAGGAUCACAGAGAGGUCAGAGGGUGGGGCUGGAGGACAGACCCUGCAGGGUCAUCAUAAUAGCUUUGGCUUUGAUGCUAAGUGAAAUGGAAAGCCUUCUACCCUUCUCAGUGCCCACUAUCUCCUCCCCACACCCCAACUCAGGAGUGGAGCUCUCUGCCUUGACCCCCAGCUCAAUUACUGGGAUUCUCCUUCCCCUGAUCCCGGCAGACACACCUUCUCAACUAGGCUGCAGGCUUCCCCAAAACAAAACCCCUGCCUAUUUUACAUAUCACUGCACAUCUACCUGGGGCUUGGCUCCCAGUAGGGGCUUAAUAAAUACCCGGUGAACGAAUGAGCAGUUAAGCAGAUCCUCAGAUCUCACAUUGGUCACCAGCUUUGUGACUCAGCUGCUCAAUCAAAGUCAAUGUCAAUUGGGUGCACAAAAUCAGUCCAUUAGUUAACUGGAAUCAGCCAAAUAAUAGGGCAGUUGCUUGACUGAAUUUCUAAACUGGCCACAUGAAACCUGUGUGGUUACAGUCUCAGUCUCCAUGAAAACUUUGGGGCUGCAGUGUUACUGCACAGAAGGUGUGUCCACCCCACUGCUUUCUGGUAAUGAUGGAAGUUUUUUCCCCCCAUUUAUUAGUGAUGAAGGGUUUGUUGGAGAUAAUUGUAUUUUUAGCAGCACAGUUAAUGAACUAGCUAAGCAUCAAUAGAUGAAAUCAUAAAACCAUUAAACACCAAGAGCAAUAAUGGGAAACUGCGUCUGGUGGUAAUGAAAUUAAGUGUCUUUAUGAGGUCACUUUAUUACUUUUCUCCUCGGCUCUCUUGCCCUCCCAAGUACAUGGUGACUGCUGCUCCUAAUUGCUGUUUCACUAAAAUGCACAAUGCUCUCCAUUUUGUGUUUUAAAUUCCAUGUAUUUCUAGGGCCUUCAGGAUCACUAAACCCUCCACCAAGAGAAUGCAAUAGAAGUGGCGGUUAUGAAAGUUUCUGGAAGUGGCCCAGUAGUACAGAAGAAUGAGGAUAGCAGAAAGGGUUGAGAAGGAAUUAAGAAAGACCUGCUGGACUUUACUGAGCCCACACUGAUGAGUCAUGUGGUCAAGGUUGAGCCCAUGCAACUUUGGCACAGCCUCCAAAGCCAGGGCAAAGUCACUCACAGAGGGACUGGAUGGCUAUGGUUAGACCUGUGCUUGAACCAUGCUUUUCAGCUUGGGAGCAAACUCAUAUGCAUAAUUUCCUUUGACCCUGUGACAAUCCCAUAUGAUACGUUUUUACUCUCACUUUUCAGAUGAGGAAACUGAGGCUCAUAGAAUCACCCGGGUCCUGCUGCUGCGUAGAGGGCAAAGCUGGUGUGCUUUCCCCAUGCCAGAGGCCUUAGGGGUCUGGAGCCCACUCACUUGCUAGUGAUUUAAACCUUGUGCAACCAAACUCAUGGCACCAUACUUAAUGCAAUAAUUCAAGAAACAUUCUUUGAGUAUCUACUGUAGGCUAGGGAUACAAUGAGCAAAACAGAAUCCUUCUCUAUCCUCAGGGAACUUAGAUGUACCUGGGGAGAGUUCCACAAGCAACAACGUGUGGUGAGUUAGGUGAAUCAGAGAGAAAGCACCAUGUUACGGAAGCUGCUGGCAGGAGGCUCCGAUCUCAUCUACAGGACAGAGAAGCCUUCCUGGAGGAAGCAAGGUUUGAGAUGAAACCUGAAGGGUAGAAGAUAAAUAGAUGAAGGAGGGGGAAGAGCACGCAGGCCAGGAGGAAGCCUGCACAAAGGCGUGUCUAACAUGUAAGAGAAAUUGGUGGCUGAGGAACUGGAUUGAUUUAGGAGGCAUCAUCAAUUGAUAAGGCUAAGGAACUGAUUCAAUUGUGGGGCUCAUGGAGAGACAGGAAUUAGGAACCCGCUCCCCCCACAACCCCAGUUCCUGACGUGGCCACCUGUGGGAUGGCAGUGCAUUUACUGAGACAGGGAGUGCUGUGGAGGAGCCUAAUAGUGGAAGUGAGGUUGGGAGAAGAUAAUGAACGGUUAUCUUAUCUAUGGUGAUGAAAAUGAGCCCUAAAAGGCAGUUCAGCUGACCCAGCUUUGUUAUGAUCUCAGGGCCAAGAACUGAAUUAAAGCCCCGAUGUAGACAUGGUGUUAAUUAUUUCAUUGAGGCCACCCAUUAAGGCUGUAAACACUGAGUUUGUUUCCACCCUACUGAGAAAUCGAAAGGACAGAGUGAAGCUUCAACAUGAUCGUCACCAGCUGGAACAAUCAGGCUUAACACGAUGAAAUUUAACAGGGACAAAUUUAAAUUACACUCCUUAGGUUCGCAAAAUCUGUUGUUUCUGUAAAGGAUGAAAAACCUGACUUAACAGCAGCUCAUGUCAACAGAACCUAAUAGAGUCAGUUGGCUAUGAAUUCCACACAAGCUGACAUGGUGAUGUGGCUGGCCUUUUGUAAGGAACAUGGCUAUACUGCAGCCAAGCAAGGAUAGGCCGAGGUAAACAUCCUGCGUGACUCAGCCAGUUUAUAGCGCAGGAGCAUAGCUCCACUUGUUGUAUAAUCACAGCCAUGUAGCCAUAACAUGGGAAGGCUCAUCACUUGGCUUGGAGCCACUAUCAUCUGUAAAAGGUAUAAUUUCCCUGCUGACACUGUACAGGCAUGCUUGUGUCCAGAGAAAGAGAGAGAGAAAGCCAGAGCUGUCUGUUUUGUAAACGGACAUGGGGGAGCCAGGACACAGCUUGGCUUGCUUGUGCCCGUAGGGCAAGAGUUAAGCUGCUAACCCUGAAGAGAGAGCUGGUUGUGCAGCUGUAUGUGGGAGCCACCGGAGCAAGCAGCCAAGACGGAGACAGUGUAAGAGAGAUGCUGAAUAAAACCACAUUUCACCUACUUACGGCCCCCUAAGAGUUCUUCCUAUCCAUCCGCCAUUCAUCCACCCACUCCCUUAGGACCUCAGCAUGGGCUGGAACCUGACCUUAAACUUAACACCCUUCUUCCACUUCUAAUGUCCCCUUGAUGUAUGAGAUAUUGGAGAGGAACCCAUGAAGCUUCCUCUGAUCAGGAUAGAGAAGAACCUGUAAGAAAAGUGCAGCAGCCAAGGAGAGAGGCCAGCUCAGAGAUAUGUCUGUAGGGAAGUCAGGGCUGGCUUGUAGGCUCGAAUGUUGGGGAGCUGCAUGCCAUGUGAUUGGAGGGUGUCUCUAACAAAACACCUGAAAAAAAAAGAGGCAAGGGACAUAAUUCUUAGCUAACAAGGGGGCCUCAGAGAGAGGGAUUUGUUAGGGCUAGGAGAAGAAGGAAGGAUGCACCAAGGAAAUGAUAAAGGAUGAAGCAUUGCAGAAAAGCCAAUUGCUGUAUUAAUUCAUUUCAGUCAUGUGUUUGAGCUCUGAUUUUGUGUAUAGCCCUAUGCUGUGGGAAAUGCUAUGAAACAACAGCCACAGAGUCAACAGCGCUGAUUGGUAUGGCUCAGAUGACCAGUGCUGUUCAGAGGAUGGUGAGGGGUCACCAGGGAAGAAGCCAUGGAGGAGCUGAAGCUUGAGCAGGCCCUUGAUGGAAGGGGUUGGGGAAGAUGUCACUGCAGAGCGUGAGCUGGGGAAGAUGAAGAAAUCAGCUGACUGGAGUCUUCAGAAAUGGGGUGGAAUAGCGUGUGCCCUGUGUUGUUGACUACCCUUGUGUUGUGCUGAUAUUCCAUCACAGAGACCCAAUUUAUCUUCAGGCUGGAAAAAGAAAAGGAAGGCCUGAUGAAAACCGUGUAUUUGGCUUUGUUUACAUUAAUGAAGUGAUUGGACAGAAAAAGUCACAAUGACUUUUUUCUUUUGUGAAAAAAAUUAUUGGGAAUGGAAUUUUGAAGUCAGGGAGACUGAAAGAGGACUCACCUAUGUCUAUCUGGAAGAUGUAUCCAAAACACCCAGGAGUUUUGUGCGCAUGUGUAUGAAGGAAGUUCAGCUAGGAAAAGCUUGCAGCCUGGGCAAUACAGCAAGACCCCAAUUCUAAAAAAUUUUUUUUUUAAUUAGCUGGGUGUGAUGGUGUGGCACCUGUGGUCCUAGCUACUCAGGAGGCUGAGGUAGGAGGAUCACUUGAGACUGGGAGGUCAAGGCCGCAGGGAGAAAUAAUAGCAUCACUGUACUCUACCUCGACCCUGCCUCGAAAAAAAAAUAAGAAAAGAAAAAGGAAAAGGAAAAGAAAAAAGUUCAGAUACUUCAAAAUGUGGAUUUGCCAUAAAAACCUUUUCUUGAAGCAUUCUUGAAAUUUCUUACCAGAUGUCAAACAGAAAAAGCCUCACAUUACUGGAGAAACUUUAUCUAAAGCCACAUACACUGGGAAUAUGGAGAUUUGUGAAUAGAAAGAGGUAAAAGCUGGAAGUGAUUCCUUAGUCAGAUGAGGUGCUUCCAUGAAGAAGAGUAGGCAUGUCUUGAAGCAAGUUAUGGAGGAAUUGGCCACCUCGCCAUUCCUCCCACGUCACUCUGUGAAACUCCAGGUAUCCUUCCAGGUAGUCACCUGCCUGUUUUGUUCAUGAUGUGCCUGCUGACUUCAACAAAGAAAGAUUUUUUUUUGUGAGUGCCUUUGGAAACUACAAAGCUGCUGAUGUUUUGCAGAUGGUAUAAAGGUUUUUUGUUUUGUUUUGCUUGUGUCAAACAAAAGUGACUCGACAGAAAAGGUUCAUUUCCUUGCACAGACAGUGCUGUUGCAAUGCGUGGCUAUGCAUCUGACUUUGCUACUUGAGUAAAAGGGAGCACCUAUGUUGUUCUCACUCACCGCAUUUCACACAAACGUAUUCUGGCUCUUCAAAAACCCCAAGAGAAGUUUUGUCAACAGCCAUAAAAGUCAUCAACUUUUAUCUAGUCUCUGAAUCACAGCAUUUUUGCAGGUUUUGUCAAGAAAUGAUGGCAGAAAAUGAAGUGCUUCUCUACCACAGAGAAGCUUACUGUCUUUCAAGGGGAAAGAUUCACUGUUUUCUAAAAGAAAAAGAAAAUCCUCUCCUGGAACAUGUAGCAAGAAAAAAUGUUGUCUGAGGGUUGGCUGACCCAGCGGAUAUUUUUAACCAUCUGAACGAGAUGAACCUUCCAGUUCGAGGCCCUGAUACCACCAUUAUGAAUGAUCCUGAAAACUUUACCAGCUUUUUUGGCUCAGCUGCCAAUAUGAAAGGAGAGUUCAGGCUGACAUCUUUGCCAACUUUUGCGAUGCUGGAGGAAGUGCUUUAUCUCAAUGAAGUUGACAUACAAAAUACUGUCAGUUUAUCUGAAAAGAGAAAUCUACAAACACCUGGAAACACUGUAGAACUCCUUUAAAAAUUAUUUCUAUCUUGAUGGUAUCAAAGUUGGACCAUAGAAUUGCAUUCUUUUUCUUGUUGAUAUAAACUGUCUCAAAGGUGUUUGCCUAGCCAAAGAUGGCGAACAUUGAUCUUGGGAUGGAAAACAGCUACAACUAGAGUUUAGCUAAAAAGUCUUGGAGAGUUUUGGUGCUCCUUGACAGAAACAUCUGUCUACUUUGCAAAGGAGCCGUAAAAGCUUUAAUUCCAUUUUCAACAAUAUAUCUUUGAGGAUUGGAGUUUUAAUGUUGUUACUAGAAAAAAUCAAAAUCAAUUGGAUGUCCAGCAUGACAAGUGUAUUAUCUCAUCAAAGACAUCCCGCUGUCUCAUAUUCUUAUUCAAACUAGGCAAAGCAGCCUUUAUAUGGGUAUGUCUUUUAAAAAACAAAAUUUAACUUCAAUUUGCCUGUAUUUCAAGUGCAAUGUCUUAUUUUUUUAAAUGUGGUUCAAAGAAGCAAAUCUGUUACUAUGUAAUAUAUAUUUUAAACAUACUAUUUUGGUAAUUGUACUUCAGUAUACACGCUUGGUUUUCCUUGUAAUCCUACGCCUUUAUUUUAUGCAUCAAAAAACAUUAUUUUAAGAAAGGUCUGUAGGCUUCACCAGAUUGCCCAAGGAAUCCACUAUGUAAAAACAGUAAAGAACUGAUGGCCCCGCACAGUUGCUCAGGCCCGUAAUCCCAGCACUUUGGGAGGCCAAGGCGGGUGGAUCACUUGAGGUCAGGAGUUUCAGACUAGCCUGGCCAACAUGGUGAAACCCCAUCUCUACUAAAAAUACAAAAAUUAGCCAGGCAUGGUGGCAUGUGCCUGUAGUCCCAGCUACUUGGGAGGCUGAGGCAUGAAAAUUGCUGAACCCAGGAGGUGGAGGUUGCAGUGAACCGAAAUUGUGCCACUGCACUCCAGCAUGGGCAACAGAGCGAGACUCUGUCUCACACACACAAAAAAAGAUCUCCUGAUAUAAGAGGACAUGAUCAUCUGCCAUGCUCUCAAGUUGCUUAACGUUCAAAAAGGCAGGUGUGUUGUGUAUGAUAUGGUGCUUGAAGAAAGAGAAGCUCCCUUGACAAAAGGCCAGGCCAGCCGUUUGGCUCCUGUGCUGUCAGAAAACCCAGUGGAGGUGGCAGUCUUUAAUGUUCAACCUCAUCAUUCCCAAGACAAUGGAAGAAGAGGGCAGAUACCAACCCAACAUAGGAAGGCACCUCUUCUCUUUUCUUUCUAUAGUAACUGAUUCCAGAAAACUGGCCAUUUCAAUCAAGCCCCCGUUGCUGAAGUGAAAUCUGUUACUGAGUUCUUCCUGUAUUCAGGGAGUGAUAUAGGGUUACAGAGAAGGGAAACACAAAGUCUCUUCCCUUGAGGAGUAAACAAUUUAGUGUUGGAGACAAAAUUAAUACAUAAAACAAUUAAGGGGAAUUAAAUGCAAGGCUAGAGGGUGUUUUAAGAAAAUUCUGCCUGUUGACUUUUUCAACACAGUAUCCUCAGGGUCUAGAAUAUUGCUUGGCACACAGUAUAUGCCAGAAAAAAAAUCUUUGUUGAAUAAAUAAGUUGAUGAUGGAAAUGUUAAAAUAACAUCUAUUGUUAUGAGAAUAAGACAGUUGUCCCUCAGUAACCAUGGGGAAUUGAUUCCAGGACCUCCCUUGGGUACCAAAGUCCAAGGAUGCUCAAGUACCUAAUAUAAAAUGGUGUAGUAUUUAUUUGCAUAUAACCUAAGCACAUUUUCCCAUAUACUUUAUUUAUUUAUUUAUUUAUUUGAGAUGGAGUCUCGCUCUGUCGCACAGGCUGGAUUGCAGUGGCGUGAUCUCGGCUCACUGCCACCUCCGCCUCCUGGAUUCAAGCGAUUCUCCUGCCUCAGCCUCCCAUGUAGCUGGGAUUACAGGCUUGUGCCACCACAUCCAGCUAAUUUUGUUUUUUAGUAGAGAUGGGGGUUCACCAUGUUGGCCAGGCUGGUCUUGAACUCCUGAUCGUAAGUGAUCCUCCAGCCUCGGCCUCCCAAAGUGCUGGGAUUACAGGCAUGAGCCACUGCCCCUGGCCUUCCCAUAUACUUUAAAUCAUCUCUGGAUGCUUACAAUACCUAAUACACUGUAAAUGUUAUGUAAAUGUUUAUAAUUUAUAUUAUUUUUUAUUUUUUUCCAAAUAUUUUGAUCCUCUGUUGAAUUCACAGAUGCAGAACCUGCAGAUAUGAAGGGUCAGCUAUACAUGUUAUUAGAGAAAAUGUAAAAAUACAGAAGACUAUAAAGAAGAAGUAAAAAAGAAAGGCUAACCAGCCAACAUUUUUGCUAUAUUGCUAUAUUUCUUCUUAGUUCUUUUUUCUAAAUACAUGCAUAACACACACACACACACACACACACACACACACACUCACUCAUACUUUCUUUUAAGAACAGAAUUGAGACUUGAGUUUUAUAGCCCGAUUUUUUUCUCUUAAAAUUAUAUUGUGAACAUUUUGCUGUGCCAUUAAGUAUUCUUCAGAACAUUAUUUUUAAUGGCUGUAUCAUAUAGUAUUCUACAAAUAAAUCAUGGUGUAUGUAGCCUAAUUUAUUAACCACUUCCCUAUUGUUGAACAUUACUGUUGGGAACACCAACAACAGCUUUUAUUUGUUGCUUUGCUCUGUUCCAAGUAUUGUGCUGAGCUUUUUCCCUUGAUGCAUAAUCUCAUUUAAUUUUGUUCUCAUAGCAAUCUAAUGAGGUAGAAUUCAUUAGACCCAUUUUACAGGGGAGAAACAUGAAGGUCAGAGGAGUAAUGUGUCAAAGGCUGCAAUUCCAGAAAGAGGCAAAUCUGGGAUUCAAGUCCUGGUCCCAUUUGAUGUUAAUGUCCAGGCACUCAAACAUGACCCUGGCCUGCCUCACCAGCGUGUAUGAGGAAGGUUCAUGCUUUAUCAGGCCAUGAAAGAGAUUGAGAAACACAUAUCAGAAAGGCAGGAGGAGACACGGAAGAGAGGAGUAUGGAGGCAACAAAGGAGAGAUCUUAAGUAGGAGGAAGUGCUUUUCUGUAUUCAAAGCUGCGAAGAUAGAAGGACAAGACCAAUGCAAAAACUGAUUAAUCUUUUUCAAGACAGGCAUUUCAGAAGCAUAAUGGGGGGUGAAAUGCGUGUUCCUAGCUCAGUGCUCCUGACUUGGUGGUAGUGGAGUGACAAAACCAUUCAUUUAUUUAUUCCCAAUACUGGGAGUCAUGGAACAGCCUUCAUAAGGUGGCAUCCAAGCAGCACAAUGUCCCUCCUGUUCCUGAGCAUUUCCGCAUCCCUGCAUCAGUGAGCAGUAUCACUAGCAGGAGCUCAGAGGCUUGUAAUGGAAGGCAGGGACAUCACCCUAUAGGGACAGCAGAACUGCAGGGUGACCAUAGGGGCUGGCCGGGGACCAGGCAUAGGUGACCAGCUUUCCGGGUGUGCCUUGGACUGAGGGGUUUUCCUGGAGGCAGAACUUCCAGUGUUAAAAACAGGAAAGUCCCAGGUAAACUGGGAUGGUUGGUCACCCUAGGCUGAGGCCCAGCUCAGAGUCUGGGCUUAUCCAGGGGCAGGUCCGUGCAGGCUUCCUGAAAGAGUAGCGAGGGAUCCGGCGCUGUUUGCGCAUGCUCACCUCCCACUUUCGGCCCUUGCAGGCUGCCUUUCCCUUGGCCUCCUCACUGAAACUUCCUCCACAAGGGUCACCGAUGAACCUUACAUACUGCCAGAUUCCACAGCCACUUUUGGUCCAAGUCACUGUCAUCCCUCACCUGGGCUACUGCAGUAGUCUCCUAAUGGUCCCCUGCUUCUAUCCUUUGCCCUACAAUCUAUUUCCAACCCGACAGCCAAAGUGACCUUUUCCUUAAAAAUUGAACUUUUUUUCAUUAAGAAAUAAUGUAUACAUAGUAAAACUCAAGUGUAUUAAUACGCAAUUCUGCAUGCUUUGGCAAACACAUGCAGUGGUUUAACCUCCACCGUAGUCAAGAUGUAAAAAUGUUUUUUUUUUUUCACUCCAACUAAUUCCUCUGUACCAACCUAUUUCCUUACCCCCAGUCCCUGUUAACCACUGAUUUCUGUUUCUAAACUUUUUGCCUUUUUGGAAUGGCAUGUAAAUAAAUCAUAUUGUAUGUAGCCUUUGAGUCUGGCUUCU